rnacentral:lncRNA from 1 species
CGGGCGAGCACGCAGAGGCCAUCGCCAGCCGUGAGCAGGAGGUGUUGCAGGGCUGGAAGGAGCUGCUGGCAGCCUGUGAGGAUGCUCGUCUGCACGUCAGCUCCACGGCUGACGCCCUGCGCUUCCACAGCCAGGCCCGAGACUUGCUCUCCUGGAUGGACGGCAUCGCGGGCCAGAUCGGGGCAGCUGACAAACCCAGGGAUGUAUCAUCCGUGGAGGUGCUUAUGAACUACCACCAGGGCCUGAAGACAGAAUUGGAGGCUCGUGUGCCUGAGCUGACAGCCUGCCAGGAGCUGGGGCGUUCUCUAUUACUCA